AUGUGCUCCUCCAAGACUCAGCCACUUCCUUUGCCCUCUCUGGACCUCAGUGUCCAGGGUUGUGCAUUUAGGGGGCUCAGGUUUGGGCUCUGUGCCUAUGAGCCAGUCUAUGUGUGCACUGUCUGUCUGUCUGUCCGUCUGCCAGCAGCCUUCAGGCGCCAGGAGGGGAGGCAGCAGUGGAAGGUGGGGGCAGGGAAGGAGGUAGCGUUGACAAGUUCCAAUGUCUGGCUUUCCCUCCUGGAAACCCCGAGCUGGGGCUGGCCCCCCCUUCCCUUCCUGUCUCUCUCGCUCAAGCACGUCCCUUCUAAGAGCCCCUCUCUGCAGACACCCCCAGUGGAACCAAGCCCAGAUUUGCUGCCAAGAAGGCCGACAUUUCUUAGACUUGCCACGUUAAAGGGGCCUGCACAGGCACGCACUCAAAUCCCCCCCCCCCCAUGUCUUCCGCCUGUGCACAUUGAGGCGACCCGAAACACACAAAGACACGGUUGGACACAGCGGCCACCUGUGCACACAGGAGGUAGCACAUGGAGCGCAUCUGACCCCGGGCUCACAGACAAGUACAAACACAGCCAUGGACUCCCUCCGCCCUCCUCCAUUCAGCCUGCCACAGACCCAAGCACGCAGUUUCCAGCACACCGCGCUCACAGACACGCACAAACGCAGUCACACGCAGGGCCUUGCCACACAGAGAAACAAGUGCAAACCUGUAGCACAGCACCGUCACCAUCACCACCACCACUGCCGCCACCGCCCUGUGUAAAUGCAACCACAGAAACACAAUGCCUGUGCUGCCUGUUCCCUGUACACACAGCCAAAGCAUAUACAGUCACACAGUGUUCCCCUGAGUCACUCUCAACAACCACACAGACAAAGUCUGUUGGGCACAGAAGCGCCCAUACCUACCCUCUGGACAUUUGGACUGGCCCACACCACCAGUACAGUGCCUUCCUGGGCACGAGACAUGCACAAAAUCCCAGCCACCUGCAGCGUUCCCUUCUGCACACACACUGUCCCUUGCACAUACACAGACAAGCUCAAACCCACAGUUAUGCUAUUAUCCUCUUGUACACCAUAAAAAUCACAGGGGCUCCCAACACACCCAGACGUGACAUACACAAACUCAGGCACACGUACCAACUCUUUUGUGCAUACAAAUAUUUAUUGGCACUGACAUGGUGCCCAUCCGCUACCAUGUGCACACACUGCUAG
rnacentral:lncRNA from 1 species